AAAAAAAAGAGUUUGAUCGUGGCUCAGAAUCAACGCUGGCGGCGUGCCUCAGACAUGCAAGUCGAACGAUUAAAGCUCUCUUCGGAGAGUGCAUAAAGUGGCGCACGGGUGAGUAACACGUAAGUAAUCUACCUUCGAGUGGGGAAUAACGUCCGGAAACGGACGCUAAUACCGCAUAAUGCAGCGGCACCUAAUGGUGACAGUUGUUAAAGGAGUAAUUCGCUUGAAGAGGAGCUUGCGGCAGAUUAGCUAGUUGGUAAGGUAAUGGCUUACCAAGGCUACGAUCUGUAACCGGUCUAAGAGGACGGUCGGUCACACUGACACUGAACAACGGGUCAGACUCCUACGGGAGGCAGCAGUCGGGAAUUUUGGGCAAUGGGCGAAAGCCUGACCCAGCAACGCCGCGUGAAGGAUGAAGUAUUUCGGUAUGUAAACUUCGAAAGAAUGGGAAGAAUAAAUGACGGUACCAUUUAUAAGGUCCGGCUAACUACGUGCCAGCAGCCGCGGU
rnacentral:rRNA from 1 species